ACGCGAUCUGGGCAUAACAGUUUCCUGCUUGUGGUUCCUGGUAGGACCUCUCAGCUGUUCUCCACCAUGCCUGGUGCUCGCCACCAUCGUUCUCCACCACGAUGGUCUGUUUCCUUUAUAACUUACUAUCAACUUUUCAAUCACAAAUUUGAUGCCAAACAAGAGACAGUAGUUGGGAAAAAAAGAGGUGCAGACAUACAGGUAAAGGGUCUGCGGUAUAGAUCAAGCUGCCUUUGAACUUGUAAUCCACCAGUCUCAGCCUUCCAAGUGUUGUGAUGACAAGCAUACACAUCUGGCUUCCUAUUUAAAUUGAACGUUAGUGCA